UACAGGGGGUGCAAACGUUGUUCGGAAUCAUUGGGCGUAAAGCGCACGUAGGCGGUCUGUUAUGUCGGAUGUGAAAGCCCUUGGCUCAACUGAGGAAGUGCAUCCGAAACUGGCAGGCUAGAGUACUAAAGAGGAUCGCGGAAUUCCCGGUGUAGAGGUGAAAUUCGUAGAUAUCGGGAGGAACACCGGUGGCGAAGGCGGCAUCCUGGACCGGCAUUGACGCUGAGGCGCGAAAGCGUGGGGAGCGAACAGG
rnacentral:rRNA from 1 species